CUUGCGUCGGCGAGUAGAGAUGAUGAGUAGUAGAGAGACUCGACGUUUCGGACAGGUUGACUGUCCGUCUUCAGGAGUGAGUGUUCGCUCGGCGUGCGGCGGUACUUAUGGCGUGCGUGCGGACGUGGGGGAAAGCUCUAGGCCGGCGGUCACGGCGGGCUGACGUCGUAGGUGGCGCUCUGUGUGUGGGUCGGCGGUUUGAUACAUCAACACAACACUGUGCCUCAAGACCCUGGCCUCCACAUCAACAGCAUCUGGCACCCAAUCCUACGUCACCAUCAAACUUCUAACCAAUCCACAAACAACCAGCCGUCCACCGUCACUCCACCGAGCCCUCCUACCCAACACAGCAGUCUGAUUGCAUCACCAACUCAACCAGGGACUCCGCCGA